UACGUAGGGUGCAAGCGUUAAUCGGAAUUACUGGGCGUAAAGCGUGCGCAGGCGGUUUUGUAAGUCUGACGUGAAAUCCCCGGGCUCAACCUGGGAAUUGCGUUAGAGACUGCAAGGCUAGAAUCUGGCAGAGGGGGGUAGAAUUCCACGUGUAGCAGUGAAAUGCGUAGAGAUGUGGAGGAACACCGAUGGCGAAGGCAGCCCCCUGGGUCAAGAUUGACGCUCAUGCACGAAAGCGUGGGGAGCAAACAGG
rnacentral:rRNA from 1 species